UUCUAUAACUCCACCGGAACCGUUCCAUGUUUCGACAUUUACAAGGAAUACCGGAAGUGUGCCGACCCAACCGGCUGCGGGACAGGCUCCGAUGCGGAUGCGUGGGAUUAUCAGGCCUGCACCGAGAUCAACUUGACCUUUGAUAGCAACAACGUGACUGACAUGUUUCCGGAGAUCCCCUUCACAGAGGCUGACAGGGAUGCCUACUGUGUCCGUAGGUGGGGUGUCCAUCCGAGGCCCUCUUGGCUGGGCACAAGCUUCUGGGGCAGCGAUCUGGCCACCGCAAGCAACAUCAUCUUCUCCAACGGAGACCUGGAUCCCUGGGCAGGAGGCGGA